rnacentral:rRNA from 1 species
GACGGAGGGUGCUAGCGUUGUUCGGAAUUACUGGGCGUAAAGGGCGCGUAGGCGGCCUGAUCAGUCGGGUGUGAAAGCCCCCGGCUCAACUGGGGAGGGUCACGCGAUACUGAUCGACUCGAAGGCAGGAGAGGGUAGUGGGAAUUCCCCGGUGUAGUGGUGAAAUGCGUAGAUAUCGGGAGGAACACCAGUGGCGAAGGCGACUACCUGGCCUGUUCUUGACGCUGAGGCGCGAAAGCUAGGGGAGCAAACGGG